rnacentral:rRNA from 1 species
AUUGAACGCUGGCGGCAUGCCUUACACAUGCAAGUCGAACGGUAACGCGGGGCAACCUGGCGACGAGUGGCGAACGGGUGAGUAAUAUAUCGGAACGUGCCCAGUAGUGGGGGAUAGCCCGGCGAAAGCCGGAUUAAUACCGCAUGAGACCUGAGGGUGAAAGCGGGGGAUCGCAAGACCUCGCGCUAUUGGAGCGGCCGAUAUCAGAUUAGGUAGUUGGUGGGGUAAAGGCCUACCAAGCCGACGAUCUGUAGCUGGUCUGAGAGGACGACCAGCCACACUGGGACUGAGACACGGCCCAGACUCCUACGGGAGGCAGCAGUGGGGAAUUUUGGACAAUGGGCGCAAGCCUGAUCCAGCCAUGCCGCGUGCGGGAAGAAGGCCUCGGUUGUAA